CUCCUCCUCCUCCUCCUCCUCUUCUUUACAGUGUUAGGCAUUAAACCUAGGACACUGAGUAUGCCAAACAAAUGCUUUAAUACUGAACUCUACCCCCCGCCCAAUCUUCGUUGCCACAUUCUUAAAGGCCCUGCAGGGUCCAGGAUGUCAAAUUCUUCCUGUUUUCAGUGACUUUCAACCACAGCUGACCUAGAGUCAAGGUGGACAGAGAAAGGAGAGACUCUCUAGGCUGAGGACGGACUACCAAGGAGGGGUCAGAGCGUCUCAUCAGCAUCGCUAGAGAAGUGAGAACUUUACCUGUUAAAUUCUGACUCUUGGACCUCUCCUGCCAUCACAAGGACCCCUCCAUCUAAGUACUUGAACUACUCCCUGGUUGGCCCUGAGCUUUGGUCCAGCUCCCCUGCUGCCUGUAACUCCUCUGGACAGCCUUUCUUCAUGUCCCAGUGUUGGCACCAGGCAUACAGAAGGUGUGCUGAGAGUGAAGGGAAGGCUUCUUGCAAACUGGCCUUCUCCCCGCACCAAAGCGGCUUCUUCCUUUAUACCUUGCAUCAUUUCCCCCUCAAGCUAGACCACCCAGAGGACAUCUUUGGACUUUAGAACCCACUCGACAUCUGCAAAUCUAAGCCCUGGUUAUUUCCACAUCAUUCUCAGACAUUUCACAGACUGAGCGAGUCACAGAAGGCUGCAGAUCACUGUCCUCCCAGGAGCGUCUACCGCCCACCCCAUCCCUGGGAUUCAUUGCUAGGGACAAACACUUGGGGAGAUGGAAGUCCUGCCAGGGCAACGAUAGGGUCUGGGCGACACAGCUCGGGGGGAAGAAGAUGAGACCAAGGUAGGAACCCGAUUGAGAGUGAAAACUAAGACUCUUAAGGGACUGUGGCACACAUGCUGGCAUUGCUGUGGGAGACCCUGCCCAGGUCCAGUUGUUCUUGUCCUUCAUUUUCUAAUCAUCCCUAUCCACCCUGAAUCACUAAUCUGCGAGGCCACCGUUCAUUCCUGGAUAGUUCUCCCAACGCCCUGAUAUUUACAGCGAUUAUUGAUGAUGCCACCAAUACGGAGGGAGAUGUGUAGUGGAUAAAUCCAUAAACAGUAAGACUGCCGGUGGGAACAAUUUGUUCCAGUGACAUUUAUUGAGGAAGGAAAUAGAUUAUUAUUUCCAUAAUAUCCUUUCCUCACUAUUAUCUUUUAGGGAGAUUUUUAAAAAAGGUGUAGGCACUGCUUGGUUUUUAUCAAGCUGACACAAGCCGAGACAUGUCUGAGGAGAGGGAACCACGACUGAGACGGCAAGGCCACAAGAUUGGCGUAUAGGUAAGCCUGUGGGCCCUUUUCUUAAUUAGUGAUUGAUGGGGGAGAUUUCACCCUUGGGCAGGUGGUCCUGGGGUGUAUAACAAAGCAGGCUGAGAAAGUGGUGUGCAAGGAAGCCAGUCUGCUGCACACCUCUGCUUUAGAUUCCUGCCCUUGCUUGAGUUUUUGCCCUGGCUUCCCUCAGUGAUGGAGUGUGGUUUGAGUUGUGAGACGAAAUAAACCCUUUCCUUCCCAAGUUGCCUUUGAUUGUGGUAUUUUAUCACAGCAAAAGGAACCCUAAUGAAGCUGUUCUGUAUCUCUGCGUGUGUGUAGUUUUGUGUGCGGGUAGCCGAGGAGGCCAGAAGAGGGUGCCUGAUCCCCUGAGGCCGGAGUUACAGGAGGUUGUAGGUUGCCAGCCGUGUGAUGAGCCAUCUCCCCAGCCCCUAUUUAUUGAUGAGAUUUUACUCUCACAGUUCCUGUGGGGUUUCCCAGGAUAAGAUGAUGAGUACUCUGCCCUAGGCACUGUGUAACCUUGAAUUACUUUUUAGCAAAUUUAAUCCUAUAGCGAUCAGUGAAGAAUCUGGGGGGAAACUGAGUCACUGAGUGAUCAGGUCAUAUCGCUAAGAGUCAGAGGAACAAAAGAUUACAGAUGAGAUAGUCUGUAUCAGGAACCAUCUUCUAAUUUAAGGGAGUGUCUCAGACUGACCUCAAUUUCUAUACACAGCUUAGGCUGGUUUUAUAAUCCCCCUGCCUCAACCUCUGGAGGGCUGGGAUUACAGGCAUGUGCUGCCAUGUCCUCUAGAAGGUCCGUCUCAUGCUUAGUCAACUAUUGUAAAUCGGAUCAGGUUGGAAAUAUUCUGGGCUCUGCAGGGUGUUUUUUUCCCCCCAUUGUUCCCAGAGAUGACAGUUCAACUUUGAACUGGAGCAGGAUGACAGCCGUAGACAUGUAUAUGAGUGGAUGUGGAUGUGGAUGUGGAUGUGUACCAAUAAAGCCUUAAGAAAGAGGUGUUGGGCUGCAUAUGGGACCUAGUUAGCUAUGUGUAGUUCUGUUAGCUAAAGGUGCACAUGGGCCUGGGAGCUCCCUGGCCUGAAGCUCAACUUAGGUGAUGGAGAAGGGAGAUGGGCUUGGAAUAAGAGAACGUUUCGAAGGUUCUGUCUCCACCUUCAUCCUCCUGACUGGCAGGCCAGUCCAGGAGGCAGAUCCAUGAGAACCUGUUCACUUUGAUGACUAGCUGCUUGCCUUCUCUCUUUACAUGGGUUUUAGGAAGCCAUUCCUCUUGGGACAUCUGAGAGGUCAUGGUCUGACAUGCUUUGCUCAGUACGCCUCUCCCACGGCCCUGGCUGCCCAGGGAGGCCCUCAGUAAGAUGACUGCUUUAGUUCCUUCACUCCUGUAAAACUUCAGGUGACCCAGGAGCUGGAAGUCUGCGGUGCAGGGUGGUUAAUGAUGGGACAUGGUGGAGUCUGCUGUGGCCUUCACUGUGGUAUUGCAGGCAGAGCCCUCUCUCAACCCAUUUUCUUGUCUGUACAUGCCAUCAUCAUGCCUGACUUAAUGGGAAUUAGGUACAAGUUUGUACCCCAACACAGCAGUCCCACAAAGGAGGUGCUUCUUAAGGAACAAGUGUAAGGUAAUGAAGCAACGCUCCUGACUUCAUCUCUGGGAAUGCCGCACGCACCCUCAACUAUACCAGUACCCUGGAAACCUGGAACAAGCUAGUUUUUGGAUGAUGAAUGGGCAAUGGAGUUGCCCAGAUACCCACAGAGCAGCGGGAGAAAAGUGGAAGACAUCUUCCUACACAGCCCUUCUCCUCUCUCUUGGCUGAGAGAAAAGGGGGCAACUUCAAGGGCUAGAUAUAUUCAGGUAAGCAGUUUUGAGUCACCAGGAUUCUCUUUGCUGAAAGUCUGGCCGGGGCCAUCAGAAUACCAACUGAAUUAUGGUAGGGCUACCUAGACCAUCAGGGUUCAUUCUCUGGUCACAGCAGACCUGCUGAUUACUUGGGCCACUUCAAAUCGGGUCAAGCAUGAAGAACUGCACUCACACGUAGGUAAUUUGGCUUCUAUAAGAGGCAGCUUAAAAAUUCUGAUAAUUCAAGACGGCUGCCUCUUGGAAUGUGCCUGAAUAUGUUUCAUCUAGAAAGGUAUAAGACCCAGAUAUCUGACCAAAGAACAAGUAAUCAUCACAAUACUGAUUAUAAUAAGGCCAAUUGUUCUACCAACUUUGAGCCCCAAGUCAACCCUUAACUUUCCAGCAAUCUUGCCAGGAUUCUUUUCUAUGAACGACAUUUUUAUCAGGGAGGAAAUUGUGACCUAGAAAGGUUAGGCAACUUGCCCAGUGUCAGUUAAGUAGGAUGGUUAGUCAGCUUUGGCAUCCAUUACUGCUGUAACCUGUUAAGCGAAGAAGGGAUCAGUGAGGAUGUGGUGGGCAUCUGUUGCCAUGGGGACCUAACACCCAGAAUCCAUUCUCUCUUUUCCUGGUGAGCACUCUAAUUAUCAUCUGGAGAAAGAUGUUCCUUCUGUUCAUCUGAAUAGACUUGACCUUCAUCUAUGACUCCAGGAUGGCCAUGGGUCCUUGAUGAAGAGAGUGUGUGACAUCCUUUGAUCACAGACAGGACAGGUGACCCAAGCGGAGCUGUUCUAGCAAAAAAAAGCUGCCUUCCUGUUAGCAUCUGGAGUCCAUAUGACUUGGAAGUAGAAGUUUUGAGUACAUCUCUGCUCCCCUGUAGGGACAGCUUGCUGGGGAAUAAAGCAACAUGAAGACAGGACCCUUGCCAUAUUUCAGUCACUCUCAGGCUUCUCUGUUUACAUGCCGACAUCAAACGUGAGCAGCUUGGUCUCACAGAGUACUCCUCACCACGAUGCCCUGCCACACCACAGGCCCUGACCAUCACACCAGAGCCAAACGACAGCACCGUAAAAGCAGGGGCCAAAUGAGUCAAUCUUCUUUUCAGUUGAUUUUCUCCGGUAUUUUGUCAGCGUGACAGGAAGCUGACCAACAUAAUGUAUCUCUUGUGGUGCCACCACCUGUUUAACUCCCAGUCUUCAGUGUGACCAUUCUGACAGAGUGUGAACUUUCUGAGACAGCAUUCUGUCAUUUUUUAAAAGCCUGGUACCUUGCACAGUGCCUAAGGCAUAGUUGGCAUUGAAUGUUGAAAGGAGUACCGGCUCGUGUGGUCACCUGCUCCAGGCCAGCACCAUGGUGAGGGCUUUACUAUUGACUUUUGCAGAUUCACACCUCAAGAAAUACGUUAACGUCCCCAUUGUUUAUUUUUAAAAGAAAUAAACCUAAAUAUAAAUUCAA